rnacentral:ncRNA from 2 species
AAACGUCUUCAGGGCGGGGUGCGAUUCCCCACCGGCGGUAGGUGCGUUCGCGCACGAGCCCGCGAGCGCUUCCCACGGCCGCCUGUGCGGCGAUGGCAAGGUCAGCAGAUCCGGUGCGAUGCCGGAGCCGACGGUAUAGUCCGGAUGAAAGAAGACAGCU